AGGCAGCAUGGGGGAUAUUGCGACAAUGGGGGGGAACCCUGAUGCAGCGACGCCGCGUGGGUGAAGAAGCGCCUCGGCGCGUAAAGCCCUGUCAGCAGGGAAGAAAAUGACGGUACCUGAAGAAGAAGCCCCGGCUAACUACGUGCC
rnacentral:rRNA from 1 species